rnacentral:lncRNA from 1 species
GGAUUUUUAUUUCAUAUAAUAAAUCUAUAAUUUGAUGGAGAAACAGACGCAGAAGUUGAUCUAGAUACAGUAGAUUAAUUUGUGUAUCGGUUUGCGCACUAUGCCGGUGCCAACAAUCUACUUCAUCUGGACUGAAUUUGCACCAUGAAACUAAUGUCAAUUGCUGAAGAAGAUUGAUAGCGUAAAUAAACGAAGCAGGAGAAGAAACCAAGGAAAAAAUCAACGGAAAUAUGGAAAAAGCAUUUCAGAUCUGCAUAAGUACCAUACGAGUAAAAAAAUUGAACCUUUAUAAUUGAAGUAAAAGAAUGAGGUCCGGGAACAAGGAAA